GAUGGGGAUGCGUUCCAUUAGUUGUUGGCGGGGUAACGGCCCACCAAGACUACGAUGGAUAGGGGUUCUGAGAGGAAGGUCCCCCACAUUGGAACUGAGACACGGUCCAAACUCCUACGGGAGGCAGCAUG
rnacentral:rRNA from 1 species